CCUACGGGUGGCAGCAGUGGGGAAUAUUGGGCAAUGGGCGCAAGCCUGACCCAGCAACGCCGCGUGAAGGAAGAAGGCUCUCGGGUUGUAAACUUCUUUUAUCAGGGACGAAGCAAGUGACGGUACCUGAUGACUAAGCCACGGCUAACUACGUGCCAGCAGCCGCGGUAAUACGUAGGUGGCAAGCGUUAUCCGGAUUUAAUGGGUGUAAAGGGCGUGUAGGCGGGAAGGCAAGUCAGAUGUGAAAACCAUGGGCUCAACCUGUGACGUGCAUUUGAAACUGUAUGUCUUGAGUACUGGAGAGGCAGGCGGAAUGCAUGGUGUAGCGGUGAAAUGCGUAGAUAUUAGACGGAACACCGGUGGCGAAGGCAGUCUGCUGGACAGCAGCUGACGCUGAGGCGCGAAAGCGUGGGGAGCAAACAGGAUUAGAUACCCCUGUAGUC
rnacentral:rRNA from 1 species